rnacentral:rRNA from 1 species
UACGGAGGGUGCAAGCGUUAUCCGGAUUCACUGGGUUUAAAGGGUGCGUAGGUGGGAAAGUAAGUCAGUGGUGAAAUCUCCGUGCUUAACACGGAAACUGCCAUUGAUACUAUUUUUCUUUGAAUUUUCUGGAGGUCAGCGGAAUAUGUCAUGUAGCGGUGAAAUGCUUAGAUAUGACAUAGAACACCAAUUGCGAAGGCAGCUGGCUACAGGGAUAUUGACACUGAGGCACGAAAGCGUGGGGAUCAAACAGG